AUACGAAGGGUGCAAGCGUUAAUCGGAAUUACUGGGCGUAAAGUGCGCGUAGGUGGUUCAGCAAGUUGGAUGUGAAAGCCCCGGGCUCAACCUGGGAACUGCAUCCAAAACUACUGAGCUAGGGUACGGUAGAGGGUGGUGGAAUUUCCUGUGUAGCGGUGAAAUGCGUAGAUAUAGGAAGGAACACCAGUGGCGAAGGCGACCCCCUGGACUGGUUCUGGCCCCGAGGUGCGAAAGGCGGGGGAGCAAACAGGAUUAGAUACCCUGGUAGUCCACGCCGUAAACGAUGUCAACUAGCUGUUGGGUUCCUUGAGAACUUAGUAGCGAAGCUAACGCGAUAAGUUGACCGCCUGGGGAGUACGGCCGCAAGGUUAAAACUCAAAUGAAUUGACGGGG
rnacentral:rRNA from 1 species